UAGUAUAACAGUUAUCCGUACGUCGACGAGGAAGAGUGCGUAGGCGGUUUUUUAUUACCGUAGUGAAAAGGAGGGCUUUACCAGGGAAGGGCUCAUGACUGGGGUGAAUUGAGUGCGGGGAGGCGAUUAGAAUUCCUCGUGUAGCGGUGAAAUGCGUAGAGAUGUGGAGGAAUACCGAUGGCGAAGGCAGCCCCCUGGGACGUGACUGACGCUCAUGCACGAAAGCGUGGGGAGCAAACAGGAUUAGAUACCCUGGUAGUUCCACGCCCUAAACGAUGUCAUCUAGGUGUCUCUCAUCCUUUUCUCAGUCACCUAGCUCACGCGUGAAGUUGCCCGCGUGGUGAGUCCGCUCGCAAGAUUCACAAUCAAAGGAACUGGCGGGGACCCGCACAAGCGAUCAAUGAUGUGGAUUAAUUGGAUCCAGCGGGACAUUCCUAACUUACCCUAGCCAUGCCAAACUCGAAGCAGAGAUCCAUUCCGUUCCCGAAACGGAAAGUCAGCUCAGGCAUGGCAUGGGUCUCUUCAGCUCGUGUCAUGAGAGGUUGGGUCAAGUCCCGCGCCGAGCCCUUCCCUUGUCUUUCGUUCAUACGCAAGGGCACUCUAGAGAGACUGCCGGUGACAAACCGGAGGAAGGUGGGGAUGACGUCAAGUCCUCAUGCCCCUUAUGGGUAGGGCUUCACACGUCAUACAAUGGUGCGUACAGAGGGUAGCCAACCCGCGAGGGGGAGCUAAUCCCAGAAAACGCAUCGUAGUCCGGAUCGUAGUCUGCAACUCGACUACGUGAAGCUGGAUUCGCUAGUAAUCGCGGAUCAGCAUGCCCCGGUGAAUACGUUCCCGGGUCUUGUACACACCGCCCGUCACACCAUGGGAGUGGGUUUUGCCAGAAGUAGUUAGCCUAACCGCAAGGAGGCGCUGCCACAGUCAGACUACAUUAUCC
rnacentral:rRNA from 1 species